GUCCCUUCGGGGACAUUCGAUAAGAUUGAAACGAUACAGAGAAGAUUAGCAUGGCCCCUGCGCAAGGAUGACACGCACAAAUUCAAAAAAAAAGUAUGU
rnacentral:snRNA from 2 species